rnacentral:pre_miRNA from 1 species
ACAGGGAAGAGGUAGAGCAUGGAUGGAGUUCUCAAGAGCAAAAUAGAGCUCUUGUGACUCUACUCAUGCACUGCCUCUUCCCUGG